GUGGUAAUGCCGGAUGCUCCAGUUGAUCGCAUGGUCUUCUGGGAAAGCUUUCGCGGUAUGGGAUGGGGUCGCGUCCUAUCAGCUUGACGGCGGGGUAACGGCCCACCGUGGCUUCGACGGGUAGCCGGCCUGAGAGGGCGACCGGCCACAUUGGGACUGAGAUACGGCCCAGACUCCUACGGGAGGCAGCAGUGGGGAAUAUUGCACAAUGGGCGCAAGCCUGAUGCAGCGACGCCGCGUGAGGGAUGGAGGCCUUCGGGUUGUAAACCUCUUUUAUCGGGGAGCAAGCGAGAGUGAGUUUACCCGUUGAAUAAGCACCGGCUAACUACGUGCCAGCAGCCGCGGUAAUACGUAGGGUGCAAGCGUUAUCCGGAAUUAUUGGGCGUAAAGGGCUCGUAGGCGGUUCGUCGCGUCCGGUGUGAAAGUCCAUCGCUUAACGGUGGAUCCGCGCCGGGUACGGGCGGGCUUGAGUGCGGUAGGGGAGACUGGAAUUCCCGGUGUAACGGUGGAAUGUGUAGAUAUCG
rnacentral:rRNA from 3 species